GUGGGGAAUCUUGCGCAAUGGGCGAAAGCCUGACGCAGCAACGCCGCGUGGGGGAUGAAGGCUCUCGGGUUGUAAACCCCUUUCAGCAGGGACGAAUCAAGACGGUACCUGCAGAAGAAGCCCCGGCUAACUACGUGCCAGCAGCCGCGGUAACACGUAGGGGGCAAGCGUUGUCCGGAUUUAUUGGGCGUAAAGAGCUCGUAGGUGGCUGAGUAAGUCGGAUGUCAAAUCCCCAGGCUCAACCUGGGAUCCCAUCCGAUACUGCUCUGGCUAGAGUCCGGUAGGGGAGCGUGGAAUUCCUGGUGUAGCGGUGAAAUGCGCAGAGAUCAGGAGGAACACCAGCGGCGAAGGCGGCGCUCUGGGCCGGUACUGACACUGAGGAGCGAAAGCGUGGGUAGCAAACAGGAUUAGAAACCCGAGUAGUCC
rnacentral:rRNA from 1 species